rnacentral:rRNA from 1 species
GUAGGCCAGCUGACGAGCACGCCGCGUGGAGGAUGAGGUCUUCGGAUUGUAAACUCCUGUUGCCCGGGACGAAUGGGUCCGACCUAAUACGUUGGAGUGUGACGGUACCGGGUGAGGAAGCCCCGGCUAUACUCUGUGCCACCAGCCGCGGUAAUACUUAGGGGGCAAGCGUUGUUCGGAAUUACUGGGCGUAAAGGGGGCGUAAGCGGCCUGCUAAGUCGAACGUGAAAUCCCUGGGCUCGACCCGGGAACUGCGUCCGAUACUGGUUGGAUUGAAUCCGGGAGAGGGAUGUGGAAUUCCAGGUGUAACGGUGAAAUGCGUAGAUAUCUGGAGGAACACCGGUGGCGAACGCUACAUCCUGGACCGGUAUUGACCCUGAGGCACGAAAGCCACGGGAGCAAACGGGAUUAGAUACCCCGGUAGUCCUGUCCCUAAACGAUGAAUGCUUGGUGUGGUGUGUAUCGAUCCCUACCGUGCCGAAGCUAACGCAUUAAGCAUUCCGCCUGGGGAGUAACUGUCGCAAGGCUGAAACUCAAAGAAAUUUGACGG